GGGGGCGUAGCUCAGUUGGGAGAGCACCAGAAUGGCAUUCUGGGGGUCGAGGGUUCAACUCCCUUCGCCUCCACCA
rnacentral:tRNA from 1 species